GCCGCCGCGGAGCGAGGUUGCCUGGAGAGAGCGCCUGGGCGCAGAAGGGUUAACGGGCCACCGGGGGCUCGCAGAGCAGGAGGGUGCUCUCGGACGGUGUGCCCCCCACUGCACUCCUGAACUUGGAGGACAGGGUCGCCGCGAGGGACGCAGGUGGGUGCCCUUGAUCCAGCUCAGCCCGAUGGCAGAAGAGGUUGACAAAAAAGAAAGACACCUGUUGGGGUGGCCUGCCAGACCCAGGAGUGGAGGGCUCUGUGAGGGCCCGGGAAUUCGGACUCAGGACAGGGAUUCUCCAUGGCUAGGCCCAGAAACACAGGGUCCAACCACUCUCCAGCAGGGAGACCUGGGGGUGAAGGGGUGAGCCCUGCGCAGGUCUCUGUUCCUUGGUCUUCACUGGGCAGUGUGGAGAGGUGUGGCCAGGAGGAGCCCGCGUUUGUCCAGACCAGGGUCUACUCUGGCACCAGAGUGACCACCUCUGACCUCUCCUUUCCUCGUCCUGGGCCGGGAACGACACCAAAUGAGGGACAUGGAAAGGGCUGGAGUAACAAGAGUCAGGCAGAGCCUGAAGACUUGGGUGGAACAUGGGCCCUUCUCUGGAGAUCCUGGCCUCCUCCGUUCAGUCAGGGUGGAGUUGCUGACCUUAGUGGCUGGCCCAGCCAGGGGAAGGAGUGGCCAUCGGCAACCCCCACCCCAACCCCAAUCGCUGAGGCGCCCGCUCUGGCUCAGCCACUCUGACCCCUCCCUCAAAUUCCGAACCCUAGGUCUCAGGGAGGGCAGUGGGGCUGGGUGUCUGCCCCCAGGCACAUUCCUACCCUUCUCUUGGUCAUUUUCUGCCCCAGAGCUGGCCCACCUCAGCAAUGCGAGGGCUCCCUGGAUUCCUCUCCCGGGUGCCUUUCAGAUCCAACAGAAACAGAUUUUUUUUUUUCCUGGAAAGCAGAACUAAGAGUGGGAUGAGGAGCAGGGGUGGGAAGGACUCAAAGUGAGAAGAAGGGGGCAAAGAGAGUCAGGCUUGGUGGCUGGGGUGGCUUCCAAGCCUCACUUCUCCAGUGUUCAAAGCUGAACUUCAGAUGGACUUCCCGGCUCUUCAGAAUGAGAGGCCUGUGGCUGGGGCAUGAGGCAGCCCCGGCUGCACCUCUCCUUCCCGCUUCCCCAGCUGGUAGAGAUGCACAGGAAACAAGCCCUCACUGAACCAACUCCGGAUGCUGGCACCCAGAGUGGGUGUUACAUUGCCGGCUUCUUCUCUAGAGAUUAAACCGUCAACCCAUUUAGCUUAUCCCUUGGCCAAAAAGUGUCUGAGAUGUGCCUGGAUGUUCCCUAAAGAGCUUAUCUAAGAAGGGAAGAGAAAGCCGGGAGGCAAGUAGGACAGAGAGAUAACUGGGGAAGGUCUUGUGUCUGGAAGACCCAAGGAAGGGGCUUCUGGUGGGUCCUCAGAGAGAGUGUCUGGCGCAUCCUCAGUGGAGCCUUCCUCCUCUACUUUCUAGGCACCUCUGGGAGGGCAGGAGUGGGAGCAGAUGACAACCAUUUUAGAAGGAGUCCUCUGGCUGGGUGCGGUGGCUCACACCUGUCAUCCCAGCACUUUGGGAUGCCAAGGCAGGAGAAGUGCUUGAGGCCUGGAGUUCGAGACCAGCCUGUGCAAUUUAGCUGGAUCCCAUCUCCACCAAAAAAUACCAAAAUUAGCUGGGUGUGGUGGUGCACGCAUGUAGUCCCACCUACUCAGGAGGCUGAGGAAGAAGGAGAGCCUGUGAGUUUGAGGCUGCAAUGAGCUUUGGUGGCACCACUGCCCUCCAGCCUGGAUGACAGAGUGAGAUCUCCAUCUCAAAAAAAAAAAAAAAAAAAAAAA
rnacentral:sRNA from 1 species